AUUUAUUGGGUUUAAAGGGUGCGUAGGCGGUUUGAUAAGUUAGAGGUGAAAUCCCGGGGCUUAACUCCGGAACUGCCUCUAAUACUGUUAGACUAGAGAGUAGUUGCGGUAGGCGGAAUGUAUGGUGUAGCGGUGAAAUGCUUAGAGAUCAUACAGAACACCGAUUGCGAAGGCAGCUUACCAAACUAUAUCUGACGUUGAGGCACGAAAGCGUGGGGAGCAAACAGGAUUAGAUACCCUGGUAGUCCACGCAGUAAACGAUGAUAACUCGUUGUCGGCGAUACACAGUCGGUGACUAAGCGAAAGCGAUAAGUUAUCCACCUGGGGAGUACGUUCGCAAGAAUGAAACUCAAAGGAAUUGACGGGGGCCCGCACAAGCGGAGGAACAUGUGGUUUAAUUCGAUGAUACGCGAGGAACCUUACCCGGGCUUGAAAGUUACUGACGAUUCUGGAAACAGGAUUUCCCUUCGGGGCAGGAAACUAGGUGCUGCAUGGUUGUCGUCAGCUCGUGCCGUGAGGUGUCGGGUUAAGUCCCAUAACGAGCGCAACCCCUACCGUUAGUUGCCAUCAGGUCAAGCUGGGCACUCUGGCGGGACUGCCGGUGUAAGCCGAGAGGAAGGUGGGGAUGACGUCAAAUCAGCACGGCCCUUACGUCCGGGGCUACACACGUGUUACAAUGGUAGGUACAGAGGGUCGCUACUCCGUGAGGAGAUGCCAAUCUCGAAAGCCUAUCUCAGUUCGGAUUGGAGGCUGAAACCCGCCUCCAUGAAGUUGGAUUCGCUAGUAAUCGCGCAUCAGCCAUGGC
rnacentral:rRNA from 1 species